rnacentral:rRNA from 1 species
CCUACGGGAGGUAGCAGUGAGGAAUAUUGGUCAAUGGGCGAGAGUCUGAACCAGCCAAGUCGCGUGAGGGAGUACUGCCCUAUGGGUUGUAAACCUCUUUUGUCGGGGAGCAAAAGCCGGACGUGUCCGGCUGUGAGAGUACCCGAAGAAAAAGCAUCGGCAAACUCCGUUCCACCAGCCGCGGUAAUACGGGGGAUGAGAGCGUUUUCCGGAUUUAUUGGGUUUAAAGGGUGCGCAGGCGGAUGUUUAAGUAUGCGGUAAAAUCGUGGGGGUAAACCGUGUACAGCCGUUGAAACUGGGGGUCUAGAGUGUGCGAGCGGUAUGCGGAAUGCGUGGUGUAGCGGAGAAAUGCAUAGAUAGCACGCAGAACACCGAUUGCGAAGGCAGCAUACCGGUGCACAACUGACGCUCAGGCACGAAAGCGUGGGUAUCGAACAGGAUUAGAUACCCCAGUAGUC